rnacentral:tRNA from 1 species
UAACUAGCGGUGUUUGUGGCACAUUAAAUUUUGAUUUUAAUGGUGAUGACAUAUAGUCAUUCUAGUUAA